rnacentral:snRNA from 1 species
GUGCUCACUCCGACAGCACAUAUACUAAAAUCGAAAGAUACAGAGAAGAUUAGCAUGGCCCCUGUGCAAGGAUGACAUGAAAAUUCAUGAAGCAUUCCAUAAAAAA